CCAGGGCUCUGGACGUGCCUGGUACAAAGGGAGGAGCUAAGCCUCCAGAGUCCUGGCAUGGGCAGGUGGGGGAGCCCCAAGGGCCAGCACCUCUGCCCCCACCCCAGAAGACUGCAGACAGCUGUGACGGAUGGCCACCUGGCCUGAACUGACUCCUGGCCCUCUCUUUAAUCCUGUUCUGACUCUGAGGUUUGCCACAGUCCUCCCUGACCAGUCCUGUUGUGGGUCCCCGGUUCUGAGGACAUUCUGAUGCAGAAGGAAGAGGACCUGAAGUGCUGACAGCUGGUCCAAGAGCACACUUUGAGUAGUGAGACUCCGGAAUACUGAGCAGCGAGCACCAGAGCAGCAGUUCUCAUCAAAGGAGGGCAUCAGAACAAACACGCGGUCCUCGCCUCCUGCUCCCUUUCUCAAGACAGAGACAUUCUGAUCCAGUGUUCAGACCCAGAAACCUUGAGGUCAUCGUAUCUGUCAGCAAAUCCUGUAGUUUCUAUCUUCAAAAUUUAUCUAGAAUACAACUGCUUCUCACCACCUUCCACCACUCCACUCCAGUGCCAGCCACCGUCAUCUCCGUCUGGAUUACUACAGGAACUUCCUAAUUGGCCUCCUCUGUCUACCUGGACCCUCUAUGGCUGAGCCUCAACACGGCAGUCAGAGUGACCUUUUUAUAGCUCCAGCUGGAUCAUGCCAUUCCUCUGUGCAGAUGUCUGCAGAGUCUACACAUUCUGGCCUCCCACCCAUUACCUCUUUGAUCUCUUCUCUUACCAUCCUGCCUGUCUAGGCUCUGGCCGCCCAGCCUCCUGCCUCAGGGCCUUUG
rnacentral:lncRNA from 1 species